rnacentral:ncRNA from 1 species
AAGGCCUGAUGUGUGUGAGAUUACCCGCUGAAUUUAAGCAUAUAAGUAAGCGGAGGAAAAGAAACUAACUAGGAUUCCCUUAGUAAUGGCGAAUGAACAGGGAUCAGCUCAGUGCCAAAUCGGAAUCACUUGUGGUUCUGAAAUGUGGCUUGAAGGCAGUACCAGUGGCAUCGCGGACGAAAGUCUCUUGGAAAAGAGCGUCAUAGAGGGUGAGAAUCCCGUGAGUCGUUCGCCGUUUGUCACGUACGGUCUGCGUUCUAACGAGUCGCGUUCCUUGGGAUUGGAGCGUAAACGGGUGGUAAAUUUCAUCCAAAGCAAAAUAUAUACUCGAGACCGAUAGCACAAAAGUACCGUGAGGGAAAGGUGAAAAGAACUUUGAGAAGAGGGUUAAAUAGUGCCUGAAAUCGUUGAGAAGGAAGCGGAUGCCGCCGUUGCAUAUGCUGAUUGUAGGAUUGCUGCUCGCUCCUGUCUUCUGCUACUCAUUCACAGACCUGGUCGUGUUGAGCAGUUGUUUGGCAGAUGUUAGUGGUGUUUCCUACUUUCAGUCGUCAGCAUCACUGGCUGAGUGGAAAUAAUCCUUGGAUGCUAAUUGGUUCGCUAUCUGUGAAUUGGUUGCUUCCUUGCGAUACUCACUACUCGGUCAGUGAGGAAGUGCGUUUGCUGGUCAACGAGCUUUCUAACUGUCAUUACCCUGCGCUUUUCGAUUCGUCGAGUGGCCAGGAUGUGGCUUUGAGAUUGUUCGCACUUAGUAAUCGCGAUGCUGGCUUCCAACGGUUGCCUCCGGCCCGUCUUGAAACACGGACCAAGAGUCUAACGUAUGUGCGAGUGUGUGAGUGGCAAACUUAUACGCGUAAUGAAAGUG